CUGGGAAGAGAGACAGUAUGUUAACUGUAUAAAUGAAGAGGAAGACAGAAGUUCUCCAAAGUGACUGUGUCACAGGUCCUCUUCUGAUGUGCCAUCAGAAGGCUUCAGUGACACUGGAAGUACACUCUCUGGCAGGUCUUCCCACGCUAUAGAGGUUUGGCCAUUAGAGGAUGAAGCGUAAAGGGAAUCACCACCAGCUUUGCCGCAGUAUGAACCAUUUUGGCUAUCUCACUAUUCCAAGUCCAUCCAGGGAGCCAAGUGGUGCCAUGGAAAGCUCCAUCAACCCACAAGGUGAGCUGAGCUGGAGGAAGACUCUUGGAAGCAGUCAUAUUGUCCUAGACUAGUCCAUGACUGGAGCUUUCAACACUAGAGAGGCUUUGCUGGGUGAGUGACUCAAAUUGAAGGAAGAGGCCUGCAUUGGUGGAUUUUUGGCUGAAUACACCACCGCCACCGGGACUUCCACGUGGAGAUCUGGACUUGAGGGAGCCCUUGCUGGGGGCUGAGCUGGACUUCACUGGAUCAGCUGGUAGGCUAGACAAGGCUCUGUCUCCUUCCUACAUUGCCCACUUUCAAUAUCUCUACCUUGUUGUAAAUAAAAGAUGC